rnacentral:rRNA from 1 species
GCCUUGUAGCGGGGGAUAACUAUUGGAAACGAUAGCUAAUACCGCAUAACAAUGGGUGACACAUGUCAUUUAUUUGAAAGGGGCAAUUGCUCCACUACAAGAUGGACCUGCGUUGUAUUAGCUAGUAGGUGAGGUAACGGCUCACCUAGGCGACGAUACAUAGCCGACCUGAGAGGGUGAUCGGCCACACUGGGACUGAGACACGGCCCAGACUCCUACGGGAGGCAGCAGUAGGGAAUCUUCGGCAAUGGGGGCAACCCUGACCGAGCAACGCCGCGUGAGUGAAGAAGGUUUUCGGAUCGUAAAGCUCUGUUGUAAGUCAAGAACGAGUGUGAGAGUGGAAAGUUCACACUGUGACGGUAGCUUACCAGAAAGGGACGGCUAACUACGUGCCAGCAGCCGCGGUAAUACGUAGGUCCCGAGCGUUGUCCGGAUUUAUUGGGCGUAAAGCGAGCGCAGGCGGUUUGAUAAGUCUGAAGUUAAAGGCUGUGGCUCAACCAUAGUUCGCUUUGGAAACUGUCAAACUUGAGUGCAGAAGGGGAGAGUGGAAUUCCAUGUGUAGCGGUGAAAUGCGUAGAUAUAUGGAGGAACACCGGUGGCGAAAGCGGCUCUCUGGUCUGUAACUGACGCUGAGGCUCGAAAGCGUGGGGAGCGAACAGGAUUAGAUACCCUGGUAGUCCACGCCGUAAACGAUGAGUGCUAGGUGUUGGAUCCUUUCCGGGAUUCAGUGCCGCAGCUAACGCAUUAAGCACUCCGCCUGGGGAGUACGACCGCAAGGUUGAAACUCAAAGGAAUUGACGGGGGCCCGCACAAGCGGUGGAGCAUGUGGUUUAAUUCGAAGCAACGCGAAGAACCUUACCAGGUCUUGACAUCCCGAUGCUAUUUCUAGAGAUAGAAAGUUACUUCGGUACAUCGGUGACAGGUGGUGCAUGGUUGUCGUCAGCUCGUGUCGUGAGAUGUUUGGGUUAAGUCCCGCAACGAGCGCAACCCCUAUUGUUAGUUGCCAUCAUUCAGUUGGGCACUCUAGCGAGACUGCCGGUAUAAACCGGAGGAAAGGUGGGGGAUGACGUCAAAUCAUCAUGCCCCUUAUGACCUGGGCU